rnacentral:tRNA from 1 species
GGGGAGGUAAGUUAAGUUAUAAACUGUAUGGUUCAUGCCCAUAUAAUACAUUUUGUCCUCCCCU